GAAUUUGCCUGUAGAUUGAAAGACAUGUAUUAUUAUUAGUGAUGAGUAAUCAGGACUAUCAAGGAAUGAUAAUUUGGGUCUCAUAUAGUCCCUCUCACAUACAGUAUCCAUCAAUGAGGCAUUCUGGCAUCUAGGGUAUUACACUAUUGUGGACCACUGAGACAGACAUCGCUUGUAAAAGAACAGAAACACAGGAGGGAAAACACCACGAGAAUGUCUAUUGUCUGAAAAAGGGAUGGAUUAUACUUAAUUUCUAGCCCCUGUGUCUCCUAUCUAAGUGACCUUUCAGUACCUGAGUUUCCGAAUUUCUUUUAUUCAAGUUGUCUUACCACGAGGCCACACUGGUUGCUUAUCAGAAAGCCUUGGUGAUAUAUUGGAAUUUCCAUCUUGCACGUAUGAACGAGUUUUCUCGUAUUAUACUAUAUGUUCCAGUUACUCAAGAUGUACCCCUGAAGAAGUCUUUUGUAUAAGACGAAACGCGUUGGAUUGUCUUUGUUGUGGCGUUAUCUCCGAACCAACUUUAAGGAGAAGGAGGAGACUGUUGUGAUGCACUUGCAUUUGUUUUCAACACUGAGAAUUAUACAUCUUUCACUGUGGAAUAAUACGUCUCUUCUGUAUUAGUUUUGAAUGUGUUUUUAAUAAAUGUUUUAU